UACGUAGGGUGCAAGCGUUGUCCGGAAUUAUUGGGCGUAAAGAGCGUGUAGGCGGCUUGAUUAGUCUGCUGUGAAAGUCCAGGGCUCAACCCUGGAAGGCCGGUGGAAACUGUCGGGCUAGAGUCCGGAAGAGGCGAGUGGAAUUCCUGGUGUAGCGGUGAAAUGCGCAGAUAUCAGGAGGAACACCAAUGGCGAAGGCAGCUCGCUGGGACGGUACUGACGCUGAGGCGCGAAAGCGUGGGGAGCAAACAGG
rnacentral:rRNA from 1 species